AUGAUGCCCAGCUUGCUGGGCGGAUUAGUGGCGAACGGGUGAGUAAUACGUGAGUAACCUGCCCUUGACUCUGGGAUAAGCCUGGGAAACUGGGUCUAAUACUGGAUACUACCUCUUGCCGCAUGGUGGGUGGUGGAAAGGGUUUUACUGGUUUUGGAUGGGCUCACGGCCUAUCAGCUUGUUGGUGGGGUAAUGGCUCACCAAGGCGACGACGGGUAGCCGGCCUGAGAGGGUGACCGGCCACACUGGGACUGAGACACGGCCCAGACUCCUACGGGAGGCAGCAGUGGGGAAUAUUGCACAAUGGGCGGAAGCCUGAUGCAGCGACGCCGCGUGAGGGAUGACGGCCUUCGGGUUGUAAACCUCUUUCAGUAGGGAAGAAGCGAGAGUGACGGUACCUGCAGAAGAAGCGCCGGCUAACUACGUGCCAGCAGCCGCGGUAAUACGUAGGGCGCAAGCGUUGUCCGGAAUUAUUGGGCGUAAAGAGCUCGUAGGCGGUUUGUCGCGUCUGCUGUGAAAGCCCGGGGCUCAACCCCGGGUCUGCAGUGGGUACGGGCAGACUAGAGUGCAGUAGGGGAGACUGGAAUUCCUGGUGUAGCGGUGAAAUGCGCAGAUAUCAGGAGGAACACCGAUGGCGAAGGCAGGUCUCUGGGCUGUUACUGACGCUGAGGAGCGAAAGCAUGGGGAGCGAACAGGAUUAGAUACCCUGGUAGUCCAUGCCGUAAACGUUGGGCACUAGGUGUGGGGGACAUUCCACGUUUUCCGCGCCGUAGCUAACGCAUUAAGUGCCCCGCCUGGGGAGUACGGCCGCAAGGCUAAAACUCAAAGGAAUUGACGGGGGCCCGCACAAGCGGCGGAGCAUGCGGAUUAAUUCGAUGCAACGCGAAGAACCUUACCAAGGCUUGACAUUCACCGGACCGCCCCAGAGAUGGGGUUUCCCUUCGGGGCUGGUGGACAGGUGGUGCAUGGUUGUCGUCAGCUCGUGUCGUGAGAUGUUGGGUUAAGUCCCGCAACGAGCGCAACCCUCGUUCUAUGUUGCCAGCACGUGAUGGUGGGGACUCAUAGGAGACUGCCGGGGUCAACUCGGAGGAAGGUGGGGAUGACGUCAAAUCAUCAUGCCCCUUAUGUCUUGGGCUUCACGCAUGCUACAAUGGCCGGUACAAAGGGUUGCGAUACUGUGAGGUGGAGCUAAUCCCAAAAAGCCGGUCUCAGUUCGGAUUGAGGUCUGCAACUCGACCUCAUGAAGUCGGAGUCGCUAGUAAUCGCAGAUCAGCAACGCUGCGGUGAAUACGUUCCCGGGCCUUGUACACACCGCCCGUCAAGUCACGAAAGUUGGUAACACCCGAAGCCGGUGGCCUAACCCCU
rnacentral:rRNA from 1 species